UAAAAUUUUAUUAUUAUAUUUUAUUUUAAAUAUUUAUAAAAUAAAUAAAUUUAUUUUUAAUAUUUUUUAAGAAAAAAUUAUUUUUAUUAUAGUUAAUUAGUAUUGUAAAAAAAAAUUUCAAAUUAUUUUUAAGAAAAGUUAAUUUUUUGUACCUUGUGUAUCAGGGUUUAUUAAAUAUAUUAAUUUAUUUUAUGAUCUCGAAUUUAAAAGAGUUAAAAUUUUAUUUUUAUUAUUGUUGAAUAAAUAUUGGAAAUAAAUUUUUUGUAAUGAAAUGUUAUUCGUUUUUAAAUAUAUCUAGUUUUUUAAGAAAAUAAUUUAAUUUUGAAUAUUAAUUAAUCAAGAAUUUUAAUUUUUAAUUUUUUGUUAUUAAUAUUUAGUAUUUUUAGGGAUUAGCUUUAAAAUAAAAAUUUAUUAAUUAAUUAUUAAUAAUAAAAUUGUAGGAUUAGAAGUUUCUUUCAUUAAAAAAAUGUUAUAAUUAGUUUAUUUAAUAAUAUUAUUUAUAUUAAUUAUAAGUUUUAUAUUAAAAUAUUAAUUUUAAUUUUAUAUAUUAAGAAAUAAUGAUAAAAUUAGUAUAUUUAAUUAUGUAUAAUUAAUUUUUUUAUAAAGGUUAAAUAAAGGAAUUCGGCAAAUUAAUUUUUCACCUGUUUAUUAAAAACAUGGCCUAUUGAUUAUAAUUUUAGGUUUAACCUGCCCCCUGAAUAUUUAAAUAGCCGCGGUAUUUUGACCGUGCUAAGGUAGCAUAAUCAUUAGUUUCUUAAUUAGAAGCUGGAAUGAAUGGUUGGAUGAGGAAAUUACUGUCUCUAUUUAAAUUUAAUAAAAAUUUAUUUUUUAGUAAAAAAGCUAAAAUAUAUUUGAAAGACGAGAAGACCCUUUAGAGUUUAAUAUAUUUAUAAUUUAUUAUUUAUUAGAAUUUAAAUUUUUAAUUUUUUAAUAUAUUUAAUUGGGGUGAUUAAAAAAUUUAAUAAACUUUUUUUUAUUUAAAUACAUUAAUUUAUGGUUUAUUGAUCCAUUAUUUAUGAUUAUAAGAUUAAAUUACCUUAGGGAUAACAGCGUAAUAUUUUCAGAGAGUUCUUAUCGAAGGAAAAGAUUGCGACCUCGAUGUUGGAUUAAAAUUAACUUUAGGUGUAGAUGCUUAAAAGUUAGGUCUGUUCGACCUAUAAAAUUUUACAUGAUCUGAGUUUAAACCGGUGUGAGCCAGGUUGGUUUCUAUCUUUAAAUAAUUUUUAAUAUUUUAGUACGAAAGGAUUAAAUAUUAGAAAUAUUUUUUAUAUUAAGAAUAAUUUUAAC
rnacentral:rRNA from 1 species